AUCACUUGUCUGCCUUUUGGCUAAGAUCAAGUGUAUAUCUAUUCUUAUCAGCUUAAUAUCUGAUACGUCCUCUGUCCGAGGACAAUAUAUUAAAUGGAUUUUUGGAACAGGGAGAUGGAAUAGGAGCUUGGUCCAUCCACUCCACACAUCAAGCUGGUAUUACAGCACCUCCAGGAACAGUGCACCAAAA
rnacentral:snRNA from 1 species